GAUGAACGCUAGCUACAGGCUUAACACAUGCAAGUCGAGGGGAAACGAUGAGAGAGCUUGCUCUCUUAGUCGUCGACCGGCGCACGGGUGAGUAACGCGUAUCCAACCUGCCUCUGACCAAGGGAUAACCCGUCGAAAGUCGGACUAAUACCUUAUGCAGUCGUCGGAAGUCAUCUGAUGACGACGAAAGAUUUCAUCGGUGAGAGAUGGGGAUGCGUCUGAUUAGCUUGUUGGCGGGGUAACGGCCCACCAAGGCGACGAUCAGUAGGGGUUCUGAGAGGAAGGUCCCCCACAUUGGAACUGAGACACGGUCCAAACUCCUACGGGAGGCAGCAGUGAGGAAUAGUGGUCAAUGGGCGUAAGCCUGAACCAGCCAAGUAGCGUGCAGGAGGACGGCCCUAUGGGUGGUAAACUGCUUUUAUGCGGGGAUAAAGUGAGGGACGUGUCCUUCAUUGCAGGUACCGCAUGAAUAAGGACCGGCUAAUUCCGUG
rnacentral:rRNA from 1 species